GGACAGGAUAAGAGAAAAUGAUAGCAAUUGCCUGAAUAAUGAACCUAACUUUUUUAAAAAGCAUUCAUGUGAUGAUGAUAAGGAAGCUACGUUUUUAAAAACUGCUGCUCGCAAGUUGAAGCAAUUUCUUAAAAUGAAUAUCCAUGAGGAAUUCAAGCUCCACUUAUCAAUAGUUUCACAGGGCACAUUAAAACUGUUGAACUGCACCAGGAAGG